GACGAACGCUGGCGGCGUGCUUAACACAUGCAAGUCGAGCGGUAAGGCCCUUUCGGGGGUACACGAGCGGCGAACGGGUGAGUAACACGUGGGUGACCUGCCCUCAGCUCUGGGAUAAGCCUGGGAAACUGGGUCUAAUACUGGAUAUGACUCCACGGUGCAUGUCGUGGGGUGGAAAGCCUUGUGCGGCUGAGGAUGGGCCCGCGGCCUAUCAGCUUGUUGGUGGGGGAUGGCCUACCAAGGCGACGACGGGUAGCCGGCCUGAGAGGGCGACCGGCCACACUGGGACUGAGACACGGGCCCAGACUCCUACGGGAGGGCAGCAGUGGGGAAUCUUGCGCAAUGGGCGAAAGCCUGACGCAGCGACGCCGCGUGAGGGAUGACGGCCUGG
rnacentral:rRNA from 1 species